AUCCUAUGGCUGCAAAUCAGUAACAAGUUGCUAACUCUUAUGCCGUUCCUAUAAUGAUAAAGAUGGGAGUUACAACUUGUUCUUACCAUUCUUUGAUGUACUGACAUUUGCUUGAGCUUGAAGGUUCUUGCUAAGCCUGUAUUUCUGUAACAUCCGAAAAAUAGUUUUUCCUCCCACAGUUACAUAUAUCAUCUUUACCAGGAGGAUUUUGGAUUCUCAAGUACCUGGAGAUGGCUUUUCAGAUGGUACAAGGUGUCCAUUUCAGCCUUGGUUUAGCAUCAGUUGAGAGAACCAGCCCAGAAUCUCCUUGGGCAUUUCCUCCACGCAGAAACAGAUGCUGCUCCAUAGGAAAGGAUGUCCUUGUAGUGAAGAGGUCACUCGGGCCCUGAUGUUGGUGAUACAUCUGCUGUACCUGUAGAAUGAAUGCAAAUUUUUAGAAGUUAUAUCAAUGAAACAGGGGAGACUGAAAAUUUCCAGAACCUUUCUUGCC